rnacentral:lncRNA from 1 species
ACAUAUUUUCGAGCUCUUAGAGAGAGUUAGAGUUCCAGAGAGACGAUUAAAACAAAAGGAUCAAUCAUGAUUGCGAAUGGCGAAUCAUCAAGUCGAAGAUUGAGAUUUCCAUGAAGAACAUGUCGUCUUCUCCGGUUUUUCUUCUCUUCUCUUGUGAUUUAUUUUCUGAAAUCAUGAGCGGCUAAACCUUUUGUGUUAUUUGGAUUAUAUGAAACUUUGGCUGUGAUUUUAUAUGGAUGAUGGUUUUUAACCCUUUGAUAUGUUAUCAAAGUUAUUCAGACUUAUGAUGUGUUCUUUAUAAAACC